rnacentral:rRNA from 1 species
CAGCAGCCACGGUAAUACAGAGGGUGCGAGCGUUAAUCGGAUUUACUGGGCGUAAAGCGUGCGUAGGCGGCUUCUUAAGUCGGAUGUGAAAUCCCUGAGCUUAACUUAGGAAUUGCAUUCGAUACUGGGAAGCUAGAGUAUGGGAGAGGAUGGUAGAAUUCCAGGUGUAGCUGUGAAAUGCGUAGAGAUCUGGAGGAAUACCGAUGGCGAAGGCAGCCAUCUGGCCUAAUACUGACGCUGAGGUACGAAAGCAUGGGGAGCAAACAGGAUUAGAGACCCGCGUAGUCCCUGUCUCUUAUAC